rnacentral:rRNA from 1 species
UAUGGACGCAGUCUGAACCAGCCAUGCCGCGUGCAGGAAGACAGCUCUNUGAGUUGUAAACUGCUUUUGUACUAGGGUAAACGCUCCUACGUGUAGGAGUCUGAAAGUAUAGUACGAAUAAGGAUCGGCUAACUCCGUGCCAGCAGCCGCGGUAAUACGGAGGAUCCAAGCGUUAUCCGGAUUUAUUGGGUUUAAAGGGUGCGUAGGCGGCCUUUUAAGUCAGCGGUGAAAGUCUGUGGCUCAACCAUAGAAUUGCCGUUGAAACUGGGGGGCUUGAGUAUGUUUGAGGCAGGCGGAAUGCGUGGUGUAGCGGUGAAAUGCAUAGAUAUCACGCAGAACCCCGAUUGCGAAGGCAGCCUGCCAAGCCAUUACUGACGCUGAUGCACGAAAGCGUGGGGAUCAAACAGGAUUAGAUACCCUGGUAGUCCAAGGGCGAAUUC